CCCUUAGAUGUUCUGGGCUGCACGCGCGCUACACUGAUACUUUCAGCGAGUCCACCACCUUGCCUGAGAGGGUGGGGUAACCUCUGGAAAGUGUAUCGUGAUGGGGAUCGAUUAUUGUAAUUAUUAAUCUUCAACGAGGAAUUCCUAGUAAGCAUGUGUCAUCAGCCCGUGCUGAUUACGUCCCUGCCCUUUGUACACACCGCCCGUCGCACCUACCGAUUGAAUGGUCCGGUGAAAUCUCGGGACGGCGGCUUGGUCGCUUGCGUCCGACUGCUGAAACUUGAUUAAACCAUAUCAUUUAGAGGAAGGUGAAGUCGUAACA
rnacentral:rRNA from 1 species